GGGGAUGUAGCUCAUUUGGGUAGAGCGGCCGCCCUGCAAGCGGCAGGUAGUCGGUUCGAAGCCGACCUUCUCCACCA
rnacentral:tRNA from 1 species